rnacentral:lncRNA from 1 species
GGGCACCACGUCAGGUAACAAAAUUAAAUGAACAUCAUAUUCAAAACAAUACAAGAAAAAAAUAAAAUAAAAGAAAAUGAAAAACUAUAAAAGAAAGAACAUAAUUAUAAGCUUGAAACACGUUAACAGUACUAACAAAAUAAGAAUGCAUGAUGAAUAUUAUAUGUUAAAAGGUUACUUCAAAGCUAAAUGCAAAUUUAUAAAAUAUAAUAAUAUAUCAUGAUUCAAGAGUGAAGACCAAAAUUAGCUCACAUUUCUAGAAGAUAUAUUUCAACUAAAAAUAAUAAAAUCUACAAAGCUGAACUCUACUGAUGCUGCUAUGUGCGUCACUUCAUCUCUUUGCAAUUGAAGAAAAAUGUAUUCAUCUUCUCGGUUCCAGCAAGAAAAUGAAAACCCCUAUAUUGCAACGUCACUCUCCUACCACAAAGAAAGUUAAUUCCCCUUCUGCAUAAGCCAAGUGAUGUCGCCUCUCCUUGCUAGACCCGUGCACACUUCAAUAUGAAAUCAAGUUCUACUAUUUUCUAAAAGCUUAAAUCACCGUUCCUGCAUCACUUCUUUAGAUGAAAGAAAUAUACAAAGCAUUUAAUAACAAAAUGAAAGUAGCGGACUCCACCCAAAGAAAUUGAACAGCGUUUCUUUAGAAGACAAAAAAAUAACUACGUGAGCUGCUUGCAAUUGUUGAAUGAAAUUAAAUUAAAAAAAAUACUACCAAAGCCGUGACAUUUAUCUGCACACCCGUGGAUUAAUAUGCAUCCUCUCAUUCAUCCAUAAUCGAGCACGGUACCCAUUGUUCAAAGAAAAAGAAUGCUAUCUAAAAUUGUUCCAGCCACCAAAAUUCUGAAAAUGAGUGCAGCCCCUUUUCCAACCAAUCUGCCGAGAGUAUGAAUAAUCCCA